GAACGGGCUUGGUGGUCUAGUGGCUACCGCUUCUGAUUCAUAUGCAGAAGGUCAUGGGUUCAAUCCCUGGCCCGUCCCUUUCAUCCUACUUUGUAUCUUUCUAUCCACUUCCUCUCUCUCUCUUCUCUACAUAUACAACUCAUGUAUAUUCAUAUGUUCAUAGCCAUCGCUAGAACCAGAAACGAAUUGGAAAAAAGUCGUUUCCCUCCCUUCCAAUUUCCACUCACACAGCACAGUGUAUAUAACGCCUACAAGUUAUGCAACCAAAGCGUGCUGUGCCGCUUGACCUUAUUCACCUCAUUCACCACACAAUCUAUCACCUUACGAACACUAUAAAUAACCCCAUAUCCAUGGAUCGCAUCACCGACCCAACGGUGACUCCCAGAUCUACCAUCCUUUCAGUCUAACAAAUACCCCAGUCCGUGCUGGUUGUGGGGAAGCAGAGGUGAUCUCGGUCUUUAGUAGCAACAACCAGCACACUCUAACAUUCCUUCCCCUUCCCAACUGACUAUAAGGACGUGGCCGGCGCCGUUAUUGAUCCAAAAUGUAUGAGCUGCUAGAAUUGCACUUUGAGAAUAAGUGGAGUGUCCCAGCCCUUAUUCAUUUGGAUCUCAGUGCAAUUGGUACCAGCUCAGAUCAAUCACGGAGUAGCAACCAUUGACAUGUAUAGUCAGAUUUGA